UACGUAGGGUGCGAGCGUUAAUCGGAAUUACUGGGCGUAAAGCGUGCGCAGGCGGCUUUGCAAGACAGAUGUGAAAUCCCCGGGCUCAACCUGGGAACUGCAUUUGUGACUGCAAGGCUAGAGUACGGCAGAGGGGGAUGGAAUUCCGCGUGUAGCAGUGAAAUGCGUAGAUAUGCGGAGGAACACCAAUGGCGAAGGCAAUCCCCUGGGCCUGUACUGACGCUCAUGCACGAAAGCGUGGGGAGCAAACACG
rnacentral:rRNA from 1 species